rnacentral:tRNA from 1 species
GGUGAGAUGGCCGAGCGGUCUAAGGCGCCAGACUAAGGAUCAGCACACUCGGUGUGCAGUAUAUCUGGUCCUCCGGGGCGUGGGUUCGAAUCCCACUCUCAUCA